rnacentral:lncRNA from 1 species
CUGGAGCAGGCCGACUCCUCUCGGCCGGCGCGCGCCUGCCCCGAGGGCCGCAGUGAAAGCCCGGCUGGGCACCUGCCGGGCCCCUGCGCAGGGGCGGGCGCGUCUCCGCGCGCGGAGGCCGUCGGGGACCCCGCGCGACGCGGCCCUGCACCGCGGGACCCCGGCCGCGCGCCUGCCCGCGCUCUCAGCCGCAGGGGGCCCUGCACCCCGGACCCCGGCCGCGCGCCUGCCCGCGCUCUCAGCCGCAGGGGGCCCUGCACCCCGGACCCCGGCCGCGCGCCUGCCCGCGCUCUCAGCCGCAGGGGGCCCUGCACCCCGGACCCCGGCCGCCCGCCUGCCAGCGCUCUAGCCACAAGGGGCCCCGCGGCGCGCGCCCUCACAGCCACCCGGUGGAGGCCGCGCGCUGCCCUCGGGCUGGGGACGCCGCGAUCGCGCCCGGGCGCGCGGAGAAGCCGAGGGCACGCGCUCCCGGCGCUCCGCGGCGGGUGAGUCGUGCUUGGGGCUCACAGCCGCCUGCAGGGCGUGCCGGGACUCGGACCCCUCUCCGGGUGGCCGAAGGGCCUCCCCGCUUCUCCCUCUGCUGGGAGCCGUGGAGGAGCCGCGCCCCCGAAUGUGCGCUGUGUAACCUGCGCAGUCCCCCAAGCUGCUCCGCGUGCAGCACCAUCCACGGCUGGACCCGAGGCUCUCCCGCUCCCGGCCUCGGACCUUCCUCACGUCCCGGAGACCCGUCCUGCCGUCCCCUCGGCGGUCUGUCCUGUCCCGCGUAUCCCGCUCUUUUCCCGACCUCAGAGGGUGAAACAGUGUCCAGGGCUAAUUCCAUGGACUCCUUGCUCCGCCCGUACUUUGAGUUUCUGGAGGCAGUCACUUUGAUCCAUGUUCCAUGGGAGCUUGGGAAGAGGUGCAGUCUGUUUGGGAACACGACUUGCCAUGCAGUCACUUCUCAUGAGGACACUCACUCUAAAAGACCCCCAGCGCCCCCCAUUCGUUCCAGGGAGCAGCCUGCCACAGAACACCUGCCACCCCUAACACCGAAUAAUCCGUCCUCUUGGAAUGUCCCUAAACUGCUCAUGUGCCCCCUCAGCCAACCAAGCAGUGUCAGAAGUACCUGAAGACCAAUUGGAAUGUCUUCUCCGCCUCCAAAAGUCUCACCUUAAUAGAAUGCUUGCCAGUCAGAGACGCUCAGGGUUUCCUCUUUUUACUCUGCAAAACUUAGUUCCUUUCUAAGGAAGGCCCUU